GACGAACGCUGGCGGCGUGCUUAACACAUGCAAGUCGAACGGGAUCCGGGCUUUCGGGUUUGGUGAGAGUGGCGAACGGGUGAGUAACACGUGAGUAACCUGCCCCCUUCUUUGGGAUAACGUCGGGAAAUCGGCGCUAAUACUGGAUAUUCUUGCUGCAUCGCAUGGUGUGGUUUGGAAAGGGUUUCUGGUGGGGGAUGGGCUCGCGGCCUAUCAGCUUGUUGGUGGGGUGAUGGCCUACCAAGGCUUUGACGGGUAGCCGGCCUGAGGGGGUGUCCGGCCACACUGGGACUGAGACACGGCCCAGACUCCUACGGGAGGCAGCAGUGGGGAAUAUUGCACAAUGGGCGCAAGCCUGAUGCAGCGACGCCGCGUGAGGGAUGACGGCCUUCGGGUUGUAAACCUCUUUCAGUAUGGAACAAGGAUCCUUCUUUUGGGGGGUUUGAGGGUACGUGCAGAAGAAGCGCCGGCUAACUACGUG
rnacentral:rRNA from 1 species